GGGUGGGUGGCACAGUGGUGCAGUGCUGCCUUGUAAUAAGGAGGUUCCAGGUUUGAGUCCUGACAGCCCA